rnacentral:lncRNA from 1 species
AGCCAGCAACAUGUAAAAGAUAAUCGCAAUCUCUGAACAUAAGCUGACAAGUCUUACAGUGUUAAUCACAUCUUGCUUGCCUAAAUAUGUAGAAGAAAAUCGCAAUCUUUUGAACACAGUUUGACAAGUCUUACAGUGUCAAUCACAUCAUGUUUGUCUUACUUAAGGAUAAUCUUUUAAUAUAAGUUGACAAGUCUUACAGUGUUAAUCACAGCUUGCUUGUCUAAAUAUAUAGAAGAUCAUCGCAAUCACUGACCACAGUUUGACAAGUCUUACAGAGUUAAUCACAUCUUGCUUGUCUUACUGAGGUACAAUAUUCCCAAAUUAGAAACGGGACAGAACACAAUCAUAUAAUGUGUCGUCCCUUUCUUAUGGGUUUGAAGUUUAUAUAAUGCUGCCCAGCCAGCAAAUAUAUUGAAGAUUAUGACAAUCUUUUGAACAUAGUGUGACAAGUCUUACAGUGUCAAUCACAUCUUGCUUGUCUCAAUAUAUGAAAGAUAAUCACAAUCUUAAGAACACAGUUUAACAAGACUUACAGUGUUAAUCACAUCUUGCUUGUCUUACUGAGAAUCUUGAACCUCGCCAGCAGCUACUCGCUUGCCUGUAAAGAAACCUUCAGUACAAAGAAAUCACGAAUCUAAAAGAGGGGUUUUUAUUAAAAACCCUAAUUCGUAACAAAUAAAGGUUAAAUCUUUCAAGAACACAACGAUCAAAGAGUGUAAAACCCUAAAUCGUAACAAAUAAAGGAAAAAUCUUUGAAGAACACAACGAUAAAAGAGGGUAAAAACCCUAAUUCGUAACAAAUAGAGGUUAAAUCUUUGAAGAACACAACGAUAAAAGAGGGUUUUUGGUGUCGGGAAAUUAAUAAAAACAAAAAGUCUGAAACUUUAACAAAAUUAAAACCCUAAAGAGAUUGCAGAAACAAAGAACUUGAAAUCAAACAGAGUUUGUAAAGUCAAAUCGAAGUUUGUAAAUUUGGGAAAGAGAGAUUUCGAAAUCGAAGAAAAUCCAAAAUCACGCAAUCAAAAGAAAGCUUUGAAUAUGCAGUAAACAAAAGAAUCUAUAAAAACCCUAAACGAUUCAAUACCUGACGAUGAUGGUUCUUCGGAGAAACUCAAAGAACAAAACUCAAAGAACGCUCUCUAGUGACCGUUGUGAUUUG